UAGAUGCGAGAGUAGAGCAUAUCAAUAAGCGGAGGAAAAGAAACUAACAAGGAUUCCCUUAGUAACGGCGAGUGAAGCGGGAAGAGCUCAAAUUUGAAAUCUUCAAGGUUCUACCUUGACGAAUUGUAGUUUAAAGAAGUGUUUUCUGUUAGAUGAGUAGCAAAAGUUCCUUGGAAUGGGACAUCAUAGAGGGUGAGAAUCCCGUAUUUGGUUAUUCAUUCUAGCUUUGUGAUACACUUUCAAAGAGUCGGAUUGUUUGGGAAUGCAGUCCAAAAUGGGUGGCUAAAUUUCAUCUAAAGCUAAAUAUUGGCGAGAGACCGAUAGCGAACAAGUACCGUGAGGGAAAGAUGAAAAGAACUUUGAAAAGAGAGUUAAACAGUACGUGAAAUUGUCAAAAGGGAAGCGUUUGACACCAGUGUUGUUUUUCCGAAAAUCAAUUACGAAUGGCUUGAUUUUGUGUUGUAUUGACCUUAUCAGCUUUCUGCACUUUUUUCGAGUCUUUCUUAAUGCACUUUUCGGUUAACAAGUCAACAUCAAUUUCUUUUGUUGUAAAAGAGUAUUCGGAAGGUGGCUUUCUUUUCGGAGAAAGUGUUUAUAGCCCUAUACUUCUACAAUCGGAGAGAUUGAGGUCUGCAGCGUAGAUCCUUCGGGGUUAGAUACACUUGUGCUAAGUUGUAGCUUUUCAUAGACAACUUGUUGACUAUGUUUAGUCAUGCGGCUUACUCGCUUAGUGCUAUUUUACCUACGCUUAGGAUGUUGAGCGCAUGUCUCUCUCU
rnacentral:rRNA from 1 species